CUGACGCUGGCACCGAGAGCC
rnacentral:miRNA from 1 species